AUUGAACGCUGGCGGAAUGCUUUACACAUGCAAGUCGAACGGCAGCACGGACUUCGGUCUGGUGGCGAGUGGCGAACGGGUGAGUAAUGUAUCGGAACGUGCCCAGUCGUGGGGGAUAACGUAGUGAAAAUUACGCUAAUACCGCAUACGAUCUAUGGAUGAAAGCGGGGGAUCGCAAGACCUCGCGCGAUUGGAGCGGCCGAUAUCAGAUUAGGUAGUUGGUGGGGUAAAGGCCCACCAAGCCAACGAUCGGUAGCUGGUCUGAGAGGACGACCAGCAACACUGGAACUGAGACACGGUCCAGACUCCUACGGGAGGCAGCAGUGGGGAAUUUUGGACAAUGGGCGAAAGCCUGAUCCAGCCAUUCCGCGUGCAGGAUGAAGGCCCUCGGGUUGUAAACUGCUUUUGUACAGAACGAAAAGGUUUCUAUUAAUACUAGGAGCUCAUGACGGUACUGUAAGAAUAAGCACCGGCUAACUCCGUGCCAGCCGCCGCAGUAA
rnacentral:rRNA from 1 species